UUCCUAUGGCCAGUCAAAAGUAAGGUGCAGAUAAAUCUCUUGAAGUUUUCAUGAUUGGACUCAGAAGAGGAAGGCUUAUAAGAAGUUCAAUCUCGUUUAGCAUUUUGCACAGGUUCUUAUUAAAAUGAAUAAACCUCCUAUUUCUAAGGAGCAAGCAUUGUUUCAUGAAGCAGCUUUCCUAUCUACCUCUUACUCCUUUCCAGACCUUGAGGACUCCAGGACCUCUAAAUGCCAUCCAGGGCCUAUCACACGCUAUUGAGUUGGCAUGUUUGCAAAUUGCAUGUGGUGAGAUCUUUCCAUACCAACAGCCCUGUCUCAGGUUCCCCAGCAUCGCAGCCAAACUAGUAUUGCCUGCACAUUUUCUUCAUCUUUUCAUGGAGUUCAGUGUGGCAGCAGCACAUUCCUCAGCACAGGCUGCAGUCGGCAUGGGGAGGAGUUAUGUGAGCUGUGACGGGCAGCGUUACACCCAGUGGGGUGGUGGACAAAACUGGCAUCACCACGCGGAGCUCAAUAAACGGACUGACAAAGCUCUUGGCAGAUUAUUAAAAAUCUGGCAAAAUGCUCAUCUCUUGACAAAAAUAUAGAGAGACUAGUAAGGCAUAACUUUAUUCCAUGUUGGAUUUUAAAAUGGCUAAUGCCAAGUUGUCUGUCAAAAUUAAUAGGGCAUUGCUGCUUCUUACAGAACACACACACAAAAUAUUCUCAUACAUUUUAUUCAUUUAUUCAUUGCUAAAAAAUCAUGUAUCUGCUAAAAUUUUCAUUUAGGAAAAAGGGUUGGAGGUGAUUAACCUUGAUUUUAAAGUGCUGUGAAUUAAAAGCUACUUUUUUUUUUCCUCCUCAGGUUUGUUAUAAUAAAAAAAUCACACCUUC